rnacentral:tRNA from 1 species
AGUCUCGAAGUGAUACACAUCAAAUUGCAAAUUUGAAGAAGGGCCUGAUUGCCCCGGGGCUU